GGGUUUGCUUUGGCAGCCCAUAUAUGAAAAUUAGAAAAUGUAGAGAAGAGUAUUAGCACAGCCCUGACAAGGAUGACAGCCAAAUUCAUGAAGCAAAGCAUUCCAUG
rnacentral:snRNA from 1 species